GCCUGAUGCAGCAACGCCGCGUGAGGGACGACGGCCUUCGGGUUGUAAACCUCUUUUAGCAAGGAAGAAGCGAAAGUGACGGUACUUGCAGAAAAAGCACCGGCUAACUACGUGCCAGCAGCCGCGGUAAUACGUAGGGUGCAAGCGUUAUCCGGAAUUAUUGGGCGUAAAGAGCUCGUAGGCGGUUUGUCGCGUCUGCUGUGAAAUCUGGGGGCUCAACCCCCAGCCUGCAGUGGGUACGGGCAGACUAGAGUGCGGUAGGGGAGAUUGGAAUUCCUGGUGUAGCGGUGGAAUGCGCAGAUAUCAGGAGGAACACCGAUGGCGAAGGCAGAUCUCUGGGCCGUAACUGACGCUGAGGAGCGAAAGGGUGGGGAGCAAACAGGCUUAGAUACCCUGGUAGUCCACCCCGUAAACGUUGGGAACUAGUUGUGGGGUCCAUUCCACGGAUUCCGUGACGCAGCUAACGCAUUAAGUUCCCCGCCUGGGGAGUACGGCCGCAAGGCUAAAACUCAAAGGAAUUGACGGGGACCCGCACAAGCGGCGGAGCAUGCGGAUUAAUUCGAUGCAACGCGAAGAACCUUACCAAGACUUGACAUAUACGAGAACGGGCUAGAAAUAGUCAACUCUUUGGACACUC
rnacentral:rRNA from 4 species